rnacentral:rRNA from 1 species
CUGCAGAGAUGUGGCCCCCCUUCGUGGUCGGUAUACAGGUGGUGCAUGGCUGUCGUCAGCUCGUGUCGUGAGAUGUGGUUAAGCCCCGCAACGAGCGCAACCCUACUCUUAUGUUGCCAGCACGUUAUGGUGGGGACUCGUAAGAGACUGCCGGGGUCAACUCGGAGGAAGGUGGGGACGACGUCAAGUCAUCAUGCCCCUUAUGUCCAGGGCUUCACACAUGCUACAAUGGCCAGUACAGAGGGCUGCGAGACCGUGAGGUGGAGCGAAUCCCUUAAAGCUGGUCUCAGUUCGGAUCGGGGUCUGCAACUCGACCCCGUGAAGUCGGAGUCGCUAGUAAUCGCAGAUCAGCAACGCUGCGGUGAAUACGUUCCCGGGCCUU